CCGCCGCUCCCAGCCACUGCCUCCGGCGCCGCUCUGAGCGGCCGCGCUCCCGAGCGCCAUCCCCCCCCCCAACCCGCACAGAGGUUGCGAGCCCGCCGCUGGUGGCCGCGGUGCCGCGAGGCCGCAGCUCCGCCCUCACCGGCUCAGAUUCGCCAGGUGCUCCGUCUGUCCCAGCGCCGCGCACUCCACCCCUGCCUCUUCCUUGCUCUGACGUCCCAACGCUGUGAUGCGCUACCUCGGAGCCCCAGCGCAAGCAGACCCUAGCGGAGCAGCCCGGGCGCCGGCGUCUCCCUUGGUCCCACUCCCGUGUCCGUGUCGAGCCGGAGAUGCCCCGCCAGUGCCUUUAGGCCGUGCGAACGUCCUCCAGGUUCCAGCAUCCAGCCAAGCUCUGCCAGCCGCCGGGAUUCCUGGGCACCUCUGUCGUGUACACUCAUAUGCUUCAGAUGCCGGCUGCAAUUUGUGAUUCACCAUAUUAAAUGGGGCUUAUGCCGCAUCUGUUGCCACGGAGUCCGCUGCCUAAACUGAAGGGUACAGAUAUUAUUAUGCAACUAUUCACAAGCAUCGUCUAUUCUACUUACAGACUCAUUUCUCGAAUCAGAGCAUCCAGAAAUUUAAACCAACAUAUCUUGCUGUUAUUUCAGCAGUUGACAGCCAAACAGCUGAGUAUGCCUCUUCAAUUAAUCUGAAGGUGCCUCAGGUGGCAUAAUGACCUGUAAAUCUGGAGCUGCUCCUUGAUGAAAAGUGUGACAGCAAGGUGCCACCAUCAAAUCAUCUCUGCAAGAUAUCAUUUCAAGAAUAGUCUGUUCACGUGUUUA